rnacentral:rRNA from 1 species
GACGAACGCUGGCGGCGUGCUUAACACAUGCAAGUCGAACGAUGAAACCUAGCUUGCUAGGUCGAUUAGUGGCGAACGGGUGAGUAACACGUGACUAACCUGCCCCUUUCUCUGGGAUAACGCUCCGAAAGGAGUGCUAAUACCGGAUACUCACACCGAGGCACAUGCCUUGGUGUGGAAAGUUUUUCGGAAAGGGAUGGAGUCGCGGCCUAUCAGCUUGUUGGUGAGGUAACGGCUCACCAAGGCGACGACGGGUAGCCGGCCGGAGAGGGCAACCGGCCACACUGGGACGGAGACACGGCCCAGACUCCGACGGGAGGCAGCAGUGGGGAAUAUUGCACAAUGGGCGCAAGCCUGAUGCAGCGACGCCGCGUGAGGGAUGAAGGUCUUCGGAUUGUAAACCUCUUUCAGUAGGGACGAAGCGAAAGUGACGGUACCUAAAGAAGAAGCACCGGCUAACUACGUGCCAGCCGCCGCGGUAA